rnacentral:snoRNA from 1 species
AAUACAUGAUGUGGACACGUAACCAGCAGACCCUUGAAUCUCUCCCACGUUUCAUGUAGAGUCUCAAUUGUUCUCUAUCUGAAGCUCAAUAUCUCAUCAAUUUGCU